AGCUUGCUCUUAUGAAGUUAGCGGCGGACGGGUGAGUAACACGUGGGUAACCUGCCCAUAAGACUGGGAUAACUCCGGGAAACCGGGGCUAAUACCGGAUAACAUUUUGAACGGCAUGGUUCGAAAUUGAAAGGCGGCUUCGGCUGUCACUUAUGGAUGGACCCGCGUCGCAUUAGCUAGUUGGUGAGGUAACGGCUCACCAAGGCAACGAUGCGUAGCCGACCUGAGAGGGUGAUCGGCCACACUGGGACUGAGACACGGCCCAGACUCCUACGGGAGGCAGCAGUAGGGAAUCUUCCGCAAUGGACGAAAGUCUGACGGAGCAACGCCGCGUGAGUGAUGAAGGCUUUCGGGUCGUAAAACUCUGUUGUUAGGGAAGAACAAGUGCUAGUUGAAUAAGCUGGCACCUUGACGGUACCUAACCAGAAAGCCACGGCUAACUACGUGCCAGCAGCCG
rnacentral:rRNA from 1 species